GGAGAUUCUGUGUCUAUAUAAUCUUCAGGGCUAAAAUCAAGCAGCAAGAAGCAAUGAAUGAAUGAAAGGUUGUUUCAGUCCUUCAAGAUAGAAAGCAUGAUGUUACUGCUACCUGGAUGUUCCAGGUCAUGAGGAUGCUUCAAGUUCAUUGGUGAAUCCACCUGCAAGCAAGGAAGUGACAAAUAAAUAAAUAAAGCUCUUAUUUCAUUAAUGUUUGGAUUAAUAAAGUCCGUUUUAACAUGUCUUAAAUUAUUGUUCAAUUACUAUUAAAUCAGUGUUAGUUGCUCAGUAAA